rnacentral:rRNA from 1 species
CAGGGCGAAUGUCUUGUAAUUGGAAUGAUGGUGACCCAAACCCUCACCAGAGUAGCAAUUGGAGGGCAAGUCUGGUGCCAGCAGCCGCGGUAAUUCCAGCUCCAAUAGCGUAUAUUAAACUUGUUGCAGUUAAAAAGCUCGUAGUUGUAUUUUUGCGUUAGCGGUUUGACCAUUUGGUUGGUUAUUUCGUUUUCGCUUUUGGGAAUUUCCCUUUUUACUUUGAGAAAAUUAGAGUGUUUCAAGCAGACUUUUGUCUUGAAUACUUCAGCAUGGAAUAAUAGAGUAGGACUUUGGUUCUAUUUUGUUGGUUAUUGAACCUUAGUAAUGGUUAAUAGGAACGGUUGGGGGCAUUCGUAUUUAACUGUCAGAGGUGAAAUUCUUAG